rnacentral:rRNA from 1 species
CAGCCGCCACGGUAAUACGUAGGUGGCAAGCGUUGUCCGGAAUUAUUGGGCGUAAAGGGCCCGCAGGCGGUUUCUUAAGUCUGAUGUGAAAGCCCCCGGCUCAACCGGGGAGGGUCAUUGGAAACUGGGAAACUUGAGUGCAGAAGAGGAGAGUGGAAUUCCACGUGUAGCGGUGAAAUGCGUAGAGAUGUGGAGGAACACCAGUGGCGUAGGCGACUCUCUGGUCUGUAACUGACGCUGAGGAGCGAAAGCGUGGGGAGCGAACAGGAUUAGAUACCCGAGUAGUCCCUGUCUCUUAUAC